UCUAAACGGGAGUCAGAUGUCAGAUGUGGCCAGUUCACGAUAAAACUGCUUGAUGGAGCUGGUGCAUUCCUGAGAGUCCAGCUACUCAAGAGGCUGAAGCAGGAGGGCCAAAAGUUCAAGGCCACCUGGGCAACUUGGUGAGCGUCUGUCUCAAAUUAAUACCAACCCCGCCCCAACAAAAACAACAACAAUUUGAAGGGCUGGGGAUGUGACUCAGUCAAUAGAGUACUUGGCUAGCUAUGUGGGAGACCUGAGUGCAACCUCCAGGAAAAAGUAAAGUAAGAAUUGUGGAAGGGUGGAGCUUAUCUGUGACAUUCCUGCUGUCCUUGACCCACCAGCCACCCAGGCCACCCAACAGGUUCAGAAGGAAUCCAGCUGACUUUCCUGAGCACCUCCCCUCAGUUUAAAGUCCCUAGAGCCACGCUUGAUCACCUCUGAACCACCUCUCUGUUCUUACAAGUUAGCACAUCUGCUGGGGACAUUGGUAUUCAUGUUGGGGACACUGGUAUUCAUGUUGGGGACACUGGUAUUCAUGUUGGGGACACUGGUACUCAUCUGUUGGGGACACUGGUAUUCAUGUUGGGGACACUGGUAUUCAUAUUUUGGGGACACUGGUAUUCAUCUGUUGUGGACACUGGUAUUCAUCUGUUGGGGACACUGGUAUUCAUCUGUUGUUGGUAAGGUGCAGGGUCCUUCAGUGACAUCCCAAGACUGCAGCCCCUUAGCUGAAAGGAGGGAGAGUAUUCCCACUGGGGGGUGGGGUGGGAGGUGGAGAGGUGUGUUCCUAGGAGCCCCAGCAGUCACCUUGAUAUGCACUUGGCCUGGGAACGGGUUUCACCUUCCUCCCUAAGUGCAUUGUCUGUUUGCUUCUUUAGGUCCUAGUGGCCCAAAGUGGCUUCUGUUCCAACACGUUCCUGUAGAGUGAGAGACACGCAGCUUCAGCCUGGAAGCCGAUGACGGAGUUGCGGCCGCACCAACCAUCUGGAGCGACCCCCAACUCCUGUGACGCCCAGCUGGAGGGAGAGGCGUCUUCCAUCCCCGGAGUCUCGUGGAGGAGGAUUGAGCAGGGCUUGUGCCUGGGCUUGCCUGGGCUUGUUCAGAGCGGGGCUGCUGCCCUCUGUGACCGCACAGAUUGGGGGCUUUUGGAGACAUUGUCAGAGUUUGGAAGCCAAGGCCAGGGCUACAGGGGCCCAGAGGCUGCUCACCUGCUCGCCACGGAGCUCAGGGAACCUUGGAACUCCUUGAUGCCUGAGGAUCCCAGUCUCGACAUGGCUUUAGGCUCAAGGACCUGUCACAUCUCUCCUUCCCAUCUCUGUCACUAGCUUUGUGAAUCUGGAGGGUUUCUCACUGAACCUGGAGCUAGCCUGUCAGCCAGUAAAGCCCAGGAGCUUCCUGUCUCCAUCCCCAACAAGGCGAGGCCUGGAGGUGAGUGUAACUGAGCAUCCUUACGCCCUGAGCCGUCUCCCUAGCUCCCUGGUUGAUUCUUCUCUUUUUUUUCUUUCUCUCCUCUCUUCU